rnacentral:rRNA from 1 species
UGGGGAAUCUUGCACAAUGGGGGCAACCCUGAUGCAGCGACGCCGCGUGAGCGAUGAAGGUUUUCGAAUCGUAAAGCUCUGUCCUAUGGGAAGAUAAUGACGGUACCAUAGGAGGAAGCCCUGGCUAAAUACGUGCCAGCAGCCGCGGUAAUACGUAUGGGGCGAGCGUUGUCCGGAAUUAUUGGGCGUAAAGGGUACGUAGGUGGUUUUUUAAGUCAGGUGUCAAAGCGUGGAGCUUAACUCCAUUAAGCACUUGAAACUGAAAGACUUGAGUGAAGGAGAGGAAAGUGGAAUUCCUAGUGUAGCGGUGAAAUGCGUAGAUAUUAGGAGGAAUACCGGUGGCGAAGGCGGCUUUCUGGACUUUUACUGACGCUCAGGUACGAAAGCGUGGGGAGCAAACAGG